CGGUGGAGCAUGUGGUUAAUUCGAAGCAACGCGAAGAACCUUACCAGGCCUUGACAUGCAGAGAACUUUCCAGAGAUGGAUUGGUGCCUUCGGGAGCUCUGACACAGGUGCUGCAUGGCUGUCGUCAGCUCGUGUCGUGAGAUGUUGGGUUAAGUCCCGUAACGAGCGCAACCCUUGUCCUUAGUUACCAGCACGUUAAGGUGGGCACUCUAAGGAGACUGCCGGUGACAAACCGGAGGAAGGUGGGGAUGACGUCAAGUCAUCAUGGCUCUUACGGCCUGGGCUACACACGUGCUACAAUGGUCGGUACAAAGGGUUGCCAAGCCGCGAGGUGGAGCUAAUCCCAUAAAACCGAUCGUAGUCCGGAUCGCAGUCUGCAACUCGACUGCGUGAAGUCGGAAUCGCUAGUAAUCGUGAAUCAGAAUGUCCACGGUCGAAUACGUUCCCGGGCCUU
rnacentral:rRNA from 1 species